GGCGGCGUGCUUAACACAUGCAAGUCGAACGAUGAAGCCCAGCUUGCUGGGUGGAUUAGUGGCGAACGGGUGAGUAACACGUGAGUAACCUGCCCCCGACUCUGGGAUAAGCCCGGGAAACUGGGUCUAAUACCGGAUAUUACCUCUUGCCGCAUGGCAGGUGGUGGAAAGAUUUAUCGGUGGGGGAUGGACUCGCGGCCUAUCAGCUUGUUGGUGAGGUAAUGGCUCACCAAGGCGACGACGGGUAGCCGGCCUGAGAGGGUGACCGGCCACACUGGGACUGAGACACGGCCCAGACUCCUACGGGAGGCAGCAGUGGGGAAUAUUGCACAAUGGGCGAAAGCCUGAUGCAGCGACGCCGCGUGAGGGAUGACGGCCUUCGGGUUGUAAACCUCUUUCAGUAGGGAAGAAGCGAAAGUGACGGUACCUGCAGAAGAAGCGCCGGCUAACUACGUGCCAGCAGCCGCGGUAAUACGUAGGGCGCAAGCGUUAUCCGGAUUUAUUGGGCGUAAAGAGCUCGUAGGCGGUUUGUCGCGUCUGCCGUGAAAGUCCGAGGCUCAACCUCGGAUCUGCGGUGGGUACGGGCAGACUAGAGUGAUGUAGGGGAGACUGGAAUUCCUGGUGUAGCGGUGAAAUGCGCAGAUAUCAGGAGGAACACCGAUGGCGAAGGCAGGUCUCUGGGCA
rnacentral:rRNA from 1 species